rnacentral:misc_RNA from 1 species
AUUAAUUUUAGAUUUUAUCUAUGCACUCAAUAUCAAAUAUUGAGAUUUUAUAUUUUAAAAUUAAAACGUUUAACUAUAAUAAUAAAUUAUUUCGCCUUUUACAUCGUAUUGGUCUUUUAAAUUCUAACUCUACGGUGGACUUUUUUUCUAUCUCUCUGCCUUUUUCAAUACUUUCCAAACUGGGUCAUGAACACUGCAACUCUAUGCCAGCCUAUACCAUUUUUGCUUAGUGGUUCCAAUAGGGAUUCCACAUAUGGCUGCAGCUAUACAUCAUUGCUUACCUCCACACCUCCACUGCAUUACAAUAAAUUGCAUGAUAAUAUAUUUUAUCUGACAUGAUAAGUUUAAAUAUUCAUUUAAUUUUGCUUGUUAAUGCUCAAUAUCAAGGAUUAACAUAGGAAACAAACAUUCUGAUAAUAUAAACUAUGGGAGGGCCUUGUCUCACCUCAAGCUUAUUAAAGAUCCCAUCUCUUUGGGAUGUGGAAAGAUGGGAUUUUUGCUUUGUGAUUGAUCAAUGCUCCACUGCUCUACCCAUUUUAUCGUACGAUUAGAUUGUGAUUACUAAUAAUAGCAAGAGAAUUAUCAUAUCUUGAUGAUUUUGCCCUAUGAUAACAUUCCAGAAUUACUAAGAGUCCUAGUGAUUGAGCUAACUUUUUAUGGCCUUGUUUGGGAUUAUGAAAUCUAAAGUGGAAAAUCCUUCUUUUCUAUCUUAUUUUAUUUUCUCGAAUCUUGCCGUAUGUACUGGUGGUUGGUCAAAAGCAGACUGCCCAUAGUGAUGAACUUCAUAAGCAUUACAGAAAUGAUUAAGAAAAUACAAGAGCAUUAGAGUCACUGUCUUGCUCAAGUUGGUCUGUUAUACAUUAUUGCUUCUUCUAAUAAAAAUGUUGAUCUAGCUCUCUAAGGAGUGAUACCUGGAAUUAAUCCAUAGCUGCAUCUGUCGUAAAGAUUGCAAAAAUGGGAUAUCCCUGUUUAUCAAAAUUCGGAAGAUUCUCCAUGGACAUUGGAAUUAACAGAUGCAAUAGCUUUCCCAGAAAUAAUGCCUGUGAUCGGAUCAAGUCCUUUAUUGAUAAGAUAAGUUGUUUAUAUGAUAUACUUUUUCUUCUCCACUAGAGGUGCCUUGAGAAAUUGACCACCCAUUAACUUGAAAUGUCAUUGUUAGCAGCCAAUCUGAAUUGAAAAUGGCUCAAAAAUUGCCAAGUUAUUGCUGUGCUUUGUUCUAUGAUGAUAAUAAGAGUACUCAAAACAGUUAAUGAUCCAAUCUCUAUCUCUAUUCUCAAGAAGCUUGGCUGACGAAUCCACCACGUCCCAUCCCAUUAAAGUUUUUAGAAAUUUCUUAAGAUAAGAUUACUUACAUAAGUUUCUGCUGGAGAGUCUUCCAUAUUGAAUGGUUAGGAACCCUAGUUUAUGUGAGGAAAUUUUAUCAAUGAAGAACAAGUGUAUGGUGAUUUUAGAAACAUUUUCUUGGUUAUAAUGGCUUUGAUAUAAUGUCACAAAAACCACUUUCUUCCUAUUGUUGUUUCUUGAUGACAUAGGCAA